ACAACGAAUUUAUUGUCAACUUCGUAGUGAAGAUUCUAGUAUGUUUGGUGAACGGAAUAACACAAUGGAGGAUGAAAACGAAGAUGAUGAGUACGAGGAACUGCACUCACACUACAAAUGUUCUAAAAUUCAGGAUAAGAGCAAGCCACCACAGUCA